ACCAUGUCGUGGACUUUGUUGUAGCAAACCUUUGUAUCUUUCUCAUGCCUCAUAUUAGCACUCCAAAUCAAGCUGAGAGAAUUUAGUGAUUUCAUCCCUCAACUU
rnacentral:snoRNA from 1 species